AUCGCUUUAAAAAGUAUUCUCCUUCACCAAGUUUAUUGUGUAUGGAAGCUGCCUCUCUGUCGGCAGAAACAGGUGAACAUCCGCUCUGGCUUUAUUUUAUAGAUGACCGAAUCAGAAGACAACGGAUUUCCUGCUCCGUUUACAUCAAUCUCUUCUGGAGCCCAUGGCGAGUUGGACAAAUGCUCUGACAUCAGGCCACAGGCAGAACCCCCAGGUAGCAAUUCCCCGGUGCCCUACAACACCAGGUGCACGCCUCCCUGCCCCCCGCGGGCUGGGAUGGGGGUCUCCUCUGUGUUCCUCAGAGCUCCAUCCUCUCUGGGCCUCUCCUGUCUUUACCUCCCGCUCCUCUGUGUGCACGCUGAGAUUCCCAGAACACACCGCCGCUCACGUGCCCUCCCCAGGCCUCGUCUCAGCUUCACUAACUGCUUCGGCUUCUCUGUAGCCGAGCUGAUCGGUCUGAGCCCACAGGAGAUGUUCAAAAUGUGUUUGCUGACUGCAGGAAGGACUUCGAACCGCAGAAGAGUCUGUGCGCCGCAGAAAUCACGUGCUGCCCAGACUUGGGCUCGCUGCAGAGCUUCCCUCUUGGGUCGUGUCCGCGCGUAGCUUCAAUCAGAGAAGAAGGUGCGUCUCCCACUUUUCACUGUGUGACAGCGGAACAGUUCAGGUUACCACGUAAACACUCGCAAAAGCAGCCCAGCUCAGGCACGGACAAAGAGGAAGGAAUAGAACAUCUAGAUGCUUCGAACAACAUGGAACACGGAGGCUUGAUCCAAAAUGGACUUUUCCAAACUAUUUUACAAGCAACCCAUGCAGCAAUCGAAGUGCUCACACAGCCAGUGCUGUGGGGAACGCAAGAAAUGUUAGAUCUGUUCUUCGCCCUCAGAGGGCUUAUGUGCAGUUGUGGAAGGAGGCACAGAGGCGUUCAGAGUAUUUCAGCGAGAAACUGGUGACACCGAGAAAGCGCCACUGUAAUCCUGAGAAACGAAUUCGUCUGAGCCAGAAUGCAAAAAGCUUGUAAUAAAAAGUAAAGUUAAGGAACACCUAAAACUCAAAAAUAUGAUUAACCCAGUCUGUGGAUUAUCCAGCGUGCUUGCUUCCUAACGGAGAGCUGCCUGGCUUCUCGCCUUUGCACGGGAGGCACUUGGAAGUGAUCUCGGCAGAGUUCUUGGCAUGAGGUAAGCGCUCAGUAGCUAUUACUGCUGCUGCUAGUACUGUUACUCUCGUUACUAUUACUACUGUGACUGCUGCUGCUGUUAGUACUGUGACUAUUAUUACUGCUGCCACCAUUUGCUCAUUGUUCCCUAGCACCCCUACCUCGCAGGGGACUGGCAACAUGAAUACAUGGACGUGAAACCAAACACACCUGAAUAUGUGAACU
rnacentral:lncRNA from 1 species